UUAUUAAUUUUGGUUAGUUUUUAUAUUGACCCGACUUAGAACCGAUAAAAUUUUUU
rnacentral:sRNA from 1 species